rnacentral:tRNA from 1 species
UCCCUGAUGGUCUAGUGGUUAGGGCCAGAGCUUUCACCCUUGUAGCCCAGGUUCAAUCCCUGGUCUGGGAA